rnacentral:rRNA from 1 species
AGAGUUUGAUCCUGGCUCAGGACGAACGCUGGCGGCGUGCUUAACACAUGCAAGUCGAACGCUGAAGCCUGGCUUUUGUUGGGUGGAUGAGUGGCGAACGGGUGAGUAACACGUGAGUAACCUGCCCCCUUCUUUGGGAUAACGCCCGGAAACGGGUGCUAAUACUGGAUAUUCACUGGCCUUCGCAUGGGGGUUGGUGGAAAGGGUUUUCUGGUGGGGGAUGGGCUCGCGGCCUAUCAGCUUGUUGGUGGGGUGAUGGCCUACCAAGGCUUUGACGGGUAGCCGGCCUGAGAGGGUGACCGGUCACAUUGGGACUGAGAUACGGCCCAGACUCCUACGGGAGGCAGCAGUGGGGAAUAUUGCACAAUGGGCGCAAGCCUGAUGCAGCGACGCCGCGUGAGGGAUGGAGGCCUUCGGGUUGUGAACCUCUUUCGCCAGUGAAGCAGGCCUGCUCCUUUUUUGUGGGUGGGUUGACGGUAGCUGGAUAAGAAGCGCCGGCUAACUACGUGCCAGCAGCCGCGGUAAUACGUAGGGCGCGAGCGUUGUCCGGAAUUAUUGGGCGUAAAGGGCUUGUAGGCGGCUGGUCGCGUCUGCCGUGAAAUCCUCUGGCUCAACUGGGGGCGUGCGGUGGGUACGGGCUGGCUUGAGUGCGGUAGGGGAGGCUGGAACUCCUGGUGUAGCGGUGGAAUGCGCAGAUAUCAGGAAGAACACCGGUGGCGAAGGCGGGUCUCUGGGCCGUUACUGACGCUGAGGAGCGAAAGCGUGGGGAGCGAACAGGAUUAGAUACCCUGGUAGUCCACGCCGUAAACGUUGGGCACUAGGUGUGGGGGGCCUUUUCCGGGUUUUCCGCGCCGUAGCUAACGCAUUAAGUGCCCCGCCUGGGGAGUACGGCCGCAAGGCUAAAACUCAA